GAUGAACGCUGGCGGCGUGCCUAAUACAUGCAAGUCGAGCGAACGGACGAGAAGCUUGCUUUUCUGAUGUUGGCGGCGGACGGGUGAGUAACACGUGGAUAACCUACCUAUAAGACUGGGAUAACUUCGGGAAACCGGAGCUAAUACCGGAUAAUAUUUUGAACCGCAUGGUUCAAAAGUGAAAGACGGUCUUGCUGUCACUUAUAGAUGGAUCCGCGCUGCAUUAGCUAGUUGGUAAGGUAACGGCUUACCAAGGCAACGAUGCAUAGCCGACCUGAGAGGGUGAUCGGCCACACUGGAACUGAGACACGGUCCAGACUCCUACGGGAGGCAGCAGUAGGGAAUCUUCCGCAAUGGGCGAAAGCCUGACGGAGCAACGCCGCGUGAGUGAUGAAGGUCUUCGGAUCGUAAACUCUGUUAUUAGGGAAGAACAUAUGUGUAAGUAACUGUGCACAUCUUGACGGUACCUAAUCAGAAAGCCACGGCUAACUACGUG
rnacentral:rRNA from 1 species